GAUGAACGCUGGCGGCGUGCCUAAUACAUGCAAGUCGAGCGAACAGACGAGGAGCUUGCUCCUUUGACGUUAGCGGCGGACGGGUGAGUAACACGUGGGUAACCUACCUAUAAGACUGGGAUAACUUCGGGAAACCGGAGCUAAUACCGGAUAAUAUUUCGAACCGCAUGGUUCGAUAGUGAAAGAUGGCUCUGCUAUCACUUAUAGAUGGACCUGCGCCGUAUUAGCUAGUUGGUAAGGUAACGGCUUACCAAGGCAACGAUACGUAGCCGACCUGAGAGGGUGAUCGGCCACACUGGAACUGAGACACGGUCAAGACGCCUACGGGAGGCAGCAGUAGGGAAUCUGCCGCAAUGGGCGAAAGCCUGACGGAGCAACGCCGCGUGAGUGAUGAAGGUCUUCGGAUCGUAAAACUCUGUUAUUAGGGAAGAACAAACGUGUAAGUAACUGUGCACGUCUUGACGGUACCUAAUCAGAAAGCCACGGCUAACUACGUG
rnacentral:rRNA from 1 species